GCGAAAAGUGGGUGCAGCAAUGCACCUCUGCCUACCCCGCAAGGGAGUACAUUAGUACAGUCAGGUGCAGAUAAACCUGACCCCCUGCAUUUCAAAUAGAAAUUCUAACUACGCAAAGCCAAUUUGUCGGUGUGACGUAUGUUGCGGUAGUGCUCGUGUCUAUAGACAGAUAUAGAACUAUUUUACUAUUCUCCUAUUCAUAUCCAUCAUUUAGAUAAUAUCCAUCAUUUACACAAACUAACGAAUUCAUAGAA